rnacentral:rRNA from 1 species
CGAACGCUGGCGGCGCGCCUAACACAUGCAAGUCGAACGAGAGAUGAGGAGCUUGCUCUUCAAAUCGAGUGGCGAACGGGUGAGUAACGCGUGAGGAACCUGCCUCAAAGAGGGGGACAACAGUUGGAAACGACUGCUAAUACCGCAUAAGCCCACGGCUCGGCAUCGAGCAGAGGGAAAAGGAGCAAUCCGCUUUGAGAUGGCCUCGCGUCCGAUUAGCUGGUUGGUGAGGUAACGGCCCACCAAGGCGACGAUCGGUAGCCGGACUGAGAGGUUGAACGGCCACAUUGGGACUGAGACACGGCCCAGACUCCUACGGGAGGCAGCAGUGGGGAAUAUUGCACAAUGGGGGAAACCCUGAUGCAGCGACGCCGCGUGGAGGAAGAAGGUCUUCGGAUUGUAAACUCCUGUUGUUGAGGAAGAUAAUGACGGUACUCAACAAGGAAGUGACGGCUAACUACGUGCCAGCAGCCGCGGUAAAACGUAGGUCACAAGCGUUGUCCGGAAUUACUGGGUGUAAAGGGAGCGCAGGCGGGAGAACAAGUUGGAAGUGAAAUCCAUGGGCUCAACCCAUGAACUGCUUUCAAAACUGUUUUUCUUGAGUAGUGCAGAGGUAGGCGGAAUUCCCGGUGUAGCGGUGGAAUGCGUAGAUAUCGGGAGGAACACCAGUGGCGAAGGCGGCCUACUUGGGCACCAACUGACGCUGAGGCUCGAAAGUGUGGGUAGCAAACAGGAUUAGAUACCCUGGUAGUCCACACCGUAAACGAUGAUUACUAGGUGUUGGAGGAUUGACCCCUUCAGUGCCGCAGUUAACACAAUAAGUAAUCCACCUGGGGAGUACGACCGCAAGGUUGAAAC